CUAACCUGUAAAAUAAAAGUAAACUUACCAUUCGACGUCUUCUUUUUUCUCAAAUCUUCAUUUUUCAGCCCCAAAAAAGGCCAAAUAAAAAACCAUCAUAACCGUCGAAUUGAAAAUAAAAUAAAAAUCCUGAGCGCAAAAAAAAAACCUGACGAAAAAGAAAAAACCCGAGCGCAAAAAAAUAAUCCAUCUUCACCCAUGG